ACUGACGUAAAGCGUAAUCAUGUCCGGGGCCGCCAGCUUCGCCUCGGAUUUCCACCACAUGUAGACUUCGGAAUGAUUAUAGUUCGAAGCAGGCAGCGGCGUUGGUGACUCGUAGUUGGGUCCCGCUCCCAGAACGUGGUCUUGAAGAUUUUCGCCCACGCCCUUGAGGUCGACGAUGCUCUUGAUUCCGAGCUUUCCGAGAUCGCUCGCAUUGCCGAUACCAGACAGCA
rnacentral:misc_RNA from 1 species